rnacentral:rRNA from 1 species
AGGACGAACGCUGGCGGCGUGCUUAAUACAUGCAAGUCAACUUGACUUUAGAUAGCAAUAUCGAAAAGUAGGGUGGCGCACGGGUGCGUAACGCGUAGGUAAUCUGCCCUGAGGUCUGACAUAACCCGUCGAAAGGCGGGCUAACAUCAGAUGAUAUAUAAUCACGACAUCGUGGAAAUAUCAAAUCUUCGGAGCCUUGGGAUGAGCCUGCGUCUGAUUAGGUAGUUGGCGGAGUAAUAGCCCACCAAGCCUACGAUCAGUAGCUGGUCUGAGAGGAUGAUCAGCCACACUGGAACUGAGACACGGUCCAGACUCCUACGGGAGGCAGCAGUAAGGAAUAUUGCUCAAUGGGGGAAACCCUGAAGCAGCAACGCCGCGUGAAGGAUGAAAUACUUUGUAUGUAAACUUCUGUAAGAUGGGAAAAUAUUCUCCUCGGGAGAAUUGAUUGUACCAUCAGAGUAAGCCCCGGCUAACUACGUG